rnacentral:rRNA from 1 species
GAUGAACGCUGGCGGCGUGCCUAAUACAUGCAAGUCGAGCGAACAGACGAGGAGCUUGCUCCUCUGACGUUAGCGGCGGACGGGUGAGUAACACGUGGAUAACCUACCUAUAAGACUGGGAUAACUUCGGGAAACCGGAGCUAAUACCGGAUAAUAUAUUGAACCGCAUGGUUCAAUAGUGAAAGACGGUUUUGCUGUCACUUAUAGAUGGAUCCGCGCCGCAUUAGCUAGUUGGUAAGGUAACGGCUUACCAAGGCGACGAUGCGUAGCCGACCUGAGAGGGUGAUCGGCCACACGGGAACUGAGACACGGCCCAGACUCCGACGGGAGGCAGCAGUAGGGAAUCUUCCGCAAUGGGCGAAAGCCUGACGGAGCAACGCCGCGUGAGUGAUGAAGGUCUUCGGAUCGUAAAACUCUGUUAUUAGGGAAGAACAAAUGUGUAAGUAACUAUGCACGUCUUGACGGUACCUAAUCAGAAAGCCACGGCUAACUACGUG